rnacentral:rRNA from 1 species
AGUAACGCGUGGGUAACCUGCCCCGUACAGGGGGAUAACAGUUAGAAAUGACUGCUAAUACCGCAUGAGCGCACAGUGCUGCAUGGCACAGUGUGAAAAACUCCGGUGGUAUGAGAUGGACCCGCGUCUGAUUAGCUAGUUGGUGGGGUAACGGCCUACCAAGGCGACGAUCAGUAGCCGCCUGAGAGGGUGACGGCCACAUUGGGACUGAGACACGGCCCAG